rnacentral:lncRNA from 1 species
AGGGCGGAAGCCACGGGACGUGGAGCAGAUGGUGAGGAUAGUGGGGAGGUAGCAGCAGAGGAUGACCCGAGGCAAAAGUGCAAGUGAAGAAAAGUCGCCUUGCCGGGCAGAGGAAAUUACUCCAGGAUUUGAAUCAUCACAAGAGAUUCACCAGAGGAUUUUAUACACUUGGGCUGUGGCAGCAGACUAAUUACAUCACAGCACUAGGCUUGCGUGAGGAGCCAUGCAGCACUCUUACCACAGACACUUGGAGCACCACUGGAUAGACAGACUGGAAUGACACUGCCUCGACCCACUGUAGAGCCUUCUCUUGCUUCAGGCACCAUUCAGAAGUAGCAGCCUUACAAGUUACUUGGUGUAACCGGAUCAGAGCAGAGCAUCCACUUGUGGUUUGUGUUGCCUACAAAAUCUAAAGAGGCCGAGGACUGGCACAAUAAUCCUGAACUUGGAAAACAAAGACUGCAUAACAUUACCUAUUGAUAUAGCGGCCAGAUGUGACUUUGGUUGUUUUCCCUUCAUAUGUGGUUGUAUACAAAAUAGUACAUUUUGUUAAGUAGGAACUUUUUUGGACUUGUAUUAUGGUAAGAAACAUGUAUGUGUGUCCUCCUGUAGGCUGUCUGAAUAUUUCUUUCUGGUCUACAUAGCAUCUCUUGGUCUGGGCAAACUUCCCUUCCCAAUUUAGGUGGUUCUGAUGAGUAAAGGUAAAUUACCAGAUAGCAAAGCAAGAGGGCAUUCUAGAAAAUAAGAUCAGUGGAAGCAAAGGCCUAUGGGCAUUGUGGGUUCUGGAAGCAGUAAUUAGUUCAGUUGAGUAGUAAGUAGCACUAGGGGUGAAGAGUAUGAAGAGUGGAGUGGUGGGAGAUAAAACGGGAAAUGUUAGGUAGGGCUAUACUGGAAGGAGCUUUAUGUACCAUAUGAAGAAAGUGGACAAAAUCCUAUGCUGAGGGAAAAGUAGUGAUUUUUUUUUUACAGGACUGUGAUGUGAUCACAUCACAUUGAUAUGAAAGAUAUUCCAUGAGGGAGAAUUUGAGAUGAGCAAUACUAGGGGUAGAGCUAUUAUUUAAGAUUACCUAGUAAUUCUGAAUAAAAUGAUGAGACAUGAGCUAAGUAAGGUAGUGUGAAUUAGAGGAGAAAAUGAAUUUAAAUGAUACAUAGGAAGUGGAAUUGACAGACUUGGUGGCUGACUAUGUGGAGUGGGAAGAGAGAACAGGAAUUUAUGUAUGUGGUUAAAAAUUAUAUACUUGUAUGAAACAAUCUGGUUUGAGCUUGAGUGGGGUUCAGAGAGAUCUGGGCCUAGUGUAGAGUGACCAGCUGUUCUGGUUUAUCCAAGAUUAAGGGAUUUCGAUUUCCUGGGAUGUGAGACUUCCAAUGCUAAAACUGUGAAAGUCCCCAGCAAACCAGGACAAAUUGGUCAUGCUAGCCUAAUAUGAAUGGGCGGACAGAUUAGUGACAGGAGCUUAUCGGCAUAAGCACUGAAACACCUUCUGGGAUAACCAUGACCUGGCAAGAGAGCCUUUAGUGGUGCAAAGAAAUGGUGAUCCUUGAUAAUGCAUGGUAGUUGCUAUUCAAAUCUACCUCCCAAUGGAUCCAAUCUGGGGUCCCACGGAGAAAGGAGGCUGGAAGUAAAAUACGAAAGAACUGUUUCACUAAUCUGUGACCCCGUUUAACAGAGUGUAACUCAGAGAGGACAGAUUCUUUCUCACCGUGGACUACCCCACAGCUCUGGAAACCUGAGGGCUUUAGUACAUUGGGAGAUUCAGUUAAAUACAGGUUGGGGGAGUUCCAAGGGAUGGAGAGGGUGGGGAAAGGGAGAAGGAGGAACUGGUAACCUGUACUGGUACAAGAAAAACUAAAAUACUUAGCAGAACAGAAUAACAUCUGUGCAGUGGGGUAUAAGUCAGUGAAAUAUGAGUUAUUACAGCACAGGUGACAUCAGCAGGCUUUUCUUGAAGCAAUUCCUUUCAGAAGGAAAGAAUGUGUUGAUUACUUUCUUUGUUAUGUUGCGCCAUCUACUGGUAACUCUCAUGUACUUUUUUCCUAGUUAGAUGUUUAAAAGAAGACAGAUGAAUUAAAAACUUGAGAACUGUUUCCAAAGUCGUCAUUUAUUCGUUCGUUCGUUCAUUCAUUCAUUCAUUCAUUCACUUCACAAAUACUGAGUGAGUAUGUAUACCUUCUAUAUUGCAGUUACAUUUCUAGGCAUUGGGGUUACAGCUGUGAACAAAACUGAAAGAACCCUGAACUCAUGGAAGCUUACUUUGAUGAAAGAGUACAUUUCAUUUUUUUCCCAUGUGAAUGUUCUGUUUUCAAAGCACCAUUUACUGAAAAGAUUAUUUUUUUUUCUUUAGGACUCUGCAGUGCCGUUACUGUUAUAUAUGAAGUGUCCAUUUAUAUGUGAGUCAUUGCCUAUCUUGGUUAUGCUCCAUUGAUUUAUUUGUCAAUUUCUGUGACAAUAUCAUAUUGUCUUUAUCAUUUUACUUUAUAAUCAUUGUUAAUAUUUAGUACAUCAAGAACUCCCACCUCAUUUUUUAAAAGAAUGUUUUGGAUAGUCUUGGCCUUUAAAUUUUCCAUAAAGUUUAAAAUCAGUCUGUCAAAUUCUGUCAAAAAAAAAAAAACCCUCCUGGGAAUAUUUAUUGGGAUUGAACUGAAUCAUUAAAUCAUUUUAGAGUGAACUGAUAUUUUUAUACUAUUGAGCCUUCCAAUCACGAUUUACUUCAGUUUUCCUUAGUGUCUUUCAAUAGACAUAAAAGUCUUAUAUAUCUUUUGGUACACUUAUUUGUAGAUACUUGAUUUUUUUAGGCUAAAAAGGCAUCUUUAAAAAAUCAUUUGCUAACAAUUAUGGCUGGUGUUUGGAAAUGUAACUACUUUUGUCAUAUUGAUUAUUCAUCUAGGGAUUUUGCUAAAUGCUCUUAUAAUUCAAAUAAAUCUCUUUUUCCUACAUAUACAAUUUAUCAUUUGUAGAUAAUUAUACCAUUAAUUUGUUUUUCUUAUCCUUCAUGUACUAGUUAGAAGCUCUAGUACAACACAGAAUAGAAAUGGUGAUAUUAGGCACCCUUUAAUUGUUCCUGACUUUACAGGAAAAGCUUUUGACAUAAAACAUUACUUUUCUUUGGUUUUCUACAGAUACUUUUUAUUAGAUUAAGAACUUUCAUUCUAUUUCUUUUUUCUUAAGUGUUUAAAAAUCUUGAAUGGAUAUUAAGUUUUAUCAAAUGCUUUAGAAAUUUUGCAUCUAUGUAGAAAUACUGUAACUUUUUUUCUGCUUGAAUCUCUUAAUGUGGUGAAGAACUGGUACCAAUUCUACUGAAACUAUUCAAAAAAUUUGAGGAGGAAGGACUCCUCUCCAACUCAUUCUAUAAAGCCAGCAUCACCCUGAUACCAAAAUCUGGCAAAGACAUAAUGAUAAAAGAAAGCUACAGGCCAAUAUCUCUGAUGAAUGUAUGUGCAAAAAUCCUCAACAAAAUACUAGCAAACUGAAUCCGAAGCACAUUAAAAAGUUAAUUCAUCAUGAUCAAGUUGGUUUCAUUCCUGGGAUGCAAGGUUGGUUCAACAUACACAAAUCAAUAAAUGUGAUUCACCACAUAAACAGAAUUAAAAACAAAAACCAUAUGAUCAUCUCAAUAGACACAGAAAAAGCUUUUUAUAAAAUUCAACAUCCCAUCAUGAUAAAAGCCCUCUAAAAAAUAGUCACCAAAGGAACAUACCUCAAAAUAAGAGCCAUCUAUGAUAAACCAGCUAACAUCAUACUGAAGGGGCAAAAAUUGGAAGCAUUCCCCUGGAGAAUUGGAACAAGACAAGAAUGCCCACUCUCACCACUCCUAUUCAACAUGGUAAUGAAAGUCCUUGACACAGCAAUCAGGUGAAAGAAAGAAAUAAAAGACAUCCAAAUAGGAAAAGAAGAAGAUAGUUUGACUUCUUCUUUGCUGAUGAUAGGAAUCUAUACAUAGAAAACCCUAAAAACUGCCAAAAGUCUCCUAGAACUGAUAAACAACUUCAGCAAAAUUUCCAGAUACAAAAUCAAUAUACAAAAAUCAGUAACAUUUCUAUACACCAAUAACAUUCAAGCUGAGAGCCAAACCAAGAAUGCAAUCCCAUUUACAAUAGCUGCAAAAAACAAACAAACAAAAACCUAGGAAUACAAGUAAUGAUGGAGGUGAAAGAUCUCUCCACGAACUACAAAAUACUGCUGAAAAAAACCAUACGUGGUACAAACAAAUGGAAAAACAGUCCAUGCUCAUGGAUUAGAAGAAUCAAUAUUGUUAAAAUGGCUAAAAGCAAUCUACAGAUUGAAUGCUAUUCUUAUCAAGCUACCAACAUUAUUUUCCACAGAAGUAGAAAAAACUAUUCUAAAAUUCAUAUGGAACCAAAAAAGAGUACAGAUAGCCAAAGCAAUCCUAAGCAAAAAGAACAAAGCUGGAGGCAUCACAUUAGCAACUUCAAACUAUACUACAAGGCUACAGUAUCAAAACAACAUGGUACUGGGACAAAAACAGAUGCACAGACCAAUGGAACAGAAUAGAGAACCCAGAAGUAAAGCCACACAUCUACAACCACCUGAUCUUUAACAAAGUCAUCAAAAAUAAACAAUGGGGAAAGGACUCUCUAUUCAAUAAAUGGUGCUGGGAUAACUGGCUAGCCAUAUGCAGAAGACUGAAACUGGACCCCUACCUUUCACCAAAUACAAAAGUUAACUCAAGAUGAAUUAAAUAUUUAAAUGUAAGACCUCAAACUAUAAGAAUCAUAGAAGAAAACCUAAGAAACCUAUUCUGGACAUCAGCCUUGGGAAAUAAUUCAUAACUGAGUCCUCAAAAGCAAUUGCAACGGAAACAAAUUGACCAGUGGUACCUAAUUAAAGUAACAAGCUUCCAAUUAAAGCUACCAAUUAAAGUAACUAUCAACAGAGUAAACAGCCUACAGAAUAGGAGAAAAUGUUUGCAAACUAUGCAUCUGACAAAAGUCUGAUAUCUAGAGCUAUAAGGAACCUAAACAAAUCAGCAAGCAAAAAACCAAUAACCCCAUUUAAAAAAUGAGCAAAAGACAUGAACAGACACUUCCCAAAAGAAGACCUGCAAGUGGGCAACAAAUACAUGAAAAAAUGCUCCACAUCGCUAAUUGUCAGAGAAAUGCAAAUCAAAACCAUAAUGAGAUACCAUCUCAUAUCAGUUAGAAUGGCUAUUAUUAUUAUUAUUUUAUUUUUAUUAUAUUUUAGAUGGAAUCUCGCUCUGUUGCCAGGCUGGAGUGCAGUGGCACAACCUCAGCUCACUGCAACCUCUGCCUCCUGGGUUCAAGUGAUUCUCCUGCCUCAGCCACCAUGCCCACCUAAUUUUUGUAUUUUUAGUAGAGAUGGGGUUUCACCAUGUUGGCCAGGAUGUCUCCAUCUCUUGACCUCGUGAUCCACACGCCUCAGCCUCUCGAAGUGCUGGGAUUACAGUUGUGAGCCACUGCGCCGGGCUGGCUAUUAUUAAAAAAUAAAAAUAAAUAGAUGCUGGUAAGCCUGCAGAGAAAAGGGAAACUUAUACACUUUUGGUGGGAAUGUAAAUUAGUUCAGCUACUGUGGAAAGCUGUUUUUUGAGUUGUGUGAGUUCUUUACAUAUUCUACAUACCUAACUCAUCAGGUAAAUUAUUUGCAAAAGUUUUCUCCCAUUUUAUGGGUUGUCUUUCCACUUUGUUGUUAGUAUUCUUUGAUACACUAAAGUUUUGUAUUUUGAUGAAUUCUAAUUUAUUUUUUUCUUUUGAUUGUGCUUUUGGUGUCAUAUCUAAGAAACCAUUCCCAGCUGUGCAUGGUAGUGUGCGCCUGUUGUCCCAGUUACUUGGGAGGCUGAGGCGGGAGGAUCCCUUGAGCCCAGGAGUUUGAGGUUUUAAUACUGUACUGUAGUGAAACAGUGUAUUAUAGUGAAACAGCAUAGUGAAACUUUGUCUCUAAAAAAAAAAAAUUCUUUUUAAAGAAAUAAAUCUUUGCUAAAUCCAAGAUAAUCAUUUAUUCCUAUAUUUUCUUCUAAGAGUUUCAUAGUUUUAGCUCUUAUGUUUAGAUUUUUUAUCCAUUGUGAGUUAACUUUUGUAAAUGGUCUGAGGUAAGGGCCUAGCGUUAUUUUGUGGGACAGUUUUCUUCUUGUGUCAUUUGUAAUUUUAUAUUUUUCUAAAAUAAUUUCUAUUUCAUCCAUAUAUUCAAAUUUAUUAAAGUUGCUUAUAAUAUGCUUUGUUAGCUUUUAAAUAUCUGUAUUAUUGGUAAGAGUAGCUCCCCCUUUUUAUAUGAUACUGUUACUUGUGCUUUCUUUUUUUCUUGUCUAAUUUUGCCAGUGGUUUGUCAAUUUUAUUAGUCUUUUUAAAUAGAAACCACUACUAGCAAAGAAAUAGAACAUUGUCAGUCUUUCUUCUUUUCUGAGCACUGAUGAUGCUCUAGACCUUGGCCUAGAUAGUUGGGUUUUAUUUGUUUGUUUGAGACAGGGUUUCACUUUAUCGCCCAGGCUAGAGUGCAGUGAGUGCACAAUAUUACCUCACUGUAGUCUUGACCUCCUGGGCUCAAGUGAUUCUCCCACCUCAGCCUCCUGAGUAGCUGGGACUACAGAUGUGCACCACCACUCUCAGCUAAUUUUUACAUUUUUUUGUAGAAACAAGGUCCCACUAUGUUACCCAGGCUGGUCUCAAACUUCUGGACUCAAAUGAUCCUCCUGCCUCAGCCUCCCAAAGUGCUGGAAUUACAGGUGUGAGCCACUAUUCCCAGCCAUAACUCGUUUUUGCUACAUAUUACUCAACUACAUAUUACUCAACUAAUGUUUUUGCUAAACAUUACUCAUUCAUUCAAUACAUAUUUUGAGCACCUACUAUGUAUUGAGGAUACAUCAGUGAACAGACAGGAAAUUCUGUUCUCAUGAAGCUUACAUUCUGGUCGGGGAGAUAGAUAAUAAAUAAAAUAAGUAAAUUACAUAAUAUUUUAGUACCUUAGAAGGGAUUAAGGGCUGUGAAGAAAAAUAACUGGAGAAAUGGAUAAGGAGGGAACAGACUACUGGAAUUUUUAAAAAAAUGGUAGACAUGUAAGACCUCAUUGAGGGUACAUAUUUUUUAAAAAUUAGUUUGAAAUAAUUAUGUGUUUAUGGGAAGUUACAAAGAUGAUUCAGAGAGUUCUAUUAGCCUUCACUAGUUACCCCUAAUAGUUGCAUUCUUGUGUAACUAUAGUACAGUAUAAAAACCAAGAAAGUAGCAUUAGUAUAAUGUGUGCUUAUAGUAGUAUGCCAUUUUAUCACACAUAUAGAUUCUUGUACCAAUACCACAGUCAAGAUACUGAACUAGGCUGGUAGCAGUGGCUCACACUUGUAAUCCCAGCACUUUGGGAGGCUGAGACGGGUGGGAUCACUUGAGGCCAGGAGUUCAAGACCAGCCUGGCCAACAUGGUAAAACCCCGUCUCUACUAAAAAUACAAAAAUUAGCCAGGUGUGGUGGUGUGCGCCUGUAGUUGCAGCUAGUUGGGAGGCUGAGGCAUGAGAAUUGCUUGAACCCGGGAGGCGGAGGUUGUAGUGAGCCAAGAUCGUGCCACUGCACUCCAGCCUGGGUGACGGAGCCACACUCUGUUAAAAAAAAAAAGAUGCAGAACUAUUCUGUCCUCACAAAGAUAUUCCUUAUGCUAUGUUAUAACACAAAGAUGUCUUUAUAGUUCACCUUACUCCCCUCACUUCUACCAUCACUAACCCCUGGCAACCAUUCAUCUGUUCUCCACCUCUCUAAUUUUGUCAUUUCAAAAGCAUUAUAUAGAUGGAAUCAUACAGUAUAUAACCUUUUGAAACGAUAUUUUUUUCACUCAGCACAAUGCCUUUUUGGUCUAUCUGAGUUCCUUUCUUUGUGUAUUCCAUGAUGUUAGUAUACCACAGUUUGUUUAACCAUUCACCCAUUGAAGGACAUUUUGGUUGUUUUCAGUUUCUGGCUAUUACAAAUAAAGCUGCCAUGAGCAUUGGUGUGCAGGGUUUUAUGUAGAUAUAAGAUUUCUUUAGGAUAAAUACUAAAAGUGCAAUUCUUGGGUUGCAUGGUUGUAUAUAUUUAGUUUUUUAAGAAACUGCCAAAAUACUUUUCAGAGUGGUUAUACCAUUUUAUCAGUAAUGGUGGGAUGAGAAACGUUGUUUCUCUGCAUCUUGCCAGAACAUGGUAUUGUUAUAAUUUUUUAUUAAUAUUUUAGCUCUUCUAAUAGCACCUGGCUAAUCUGAAUUUAUAUCAGAAAUGAAAGCUUAAUUUUGAUUAAUAAAACCAAUCGAUAUAAUUCACUUUAUUAAGAAAUACUGGAAAAAGUUAUUUGAUCAUCUCCGUGGACACACAGUUUGAUGAAAUUUACCAAAUAUUCAUGAUAAAAAUUCUUAGCAUACUAGAAUAAAAGAAAAUUUCCUGCCAACUAGGUCAGGACAAAAAUGAAAAAAAAAAAAAAAAAGAAAAAAGAAAAUUUCCUUGGUACAAUGAAAGGUAUGUACAAUGUAAUACCUAGAGCAACCACUUAAAAAAAUCUAUAUGAAGAGAUACACUCGAAAACACUAUCAAUAAAUCAAAAUGGAAUUCUGAAAAAUGUUCAAGUAAUCCACAGAAAGGCAAGAAAAGAGAAACAGAGGAAACAAAAAAACAAAGGGAACAAACAGAAAAGAAAAAAUAAAAUGUCAGACCUACGCCCUAACAUAUCAGUAUUAAUAAUCAGUGAGCUCUGGACUCUCUUCUUUAUCCCCUUUGCCGCUCAAGGUUUUCAAAAGCACCACUCAUUCUCUUAAAGGACUUUUAUUAAAUAGGCAGAUGACCCCAGGGGAAAGGUCAUCUCAAAUGCCGGGCUAACCCUCCUGAGCCUCUGUCUUUCUGGCUCAGUAAUUACCCUCCUGGCUAAGUAAUUCCAAAGAGUUAUGGUAGAUUUCUGAUGUCACAAAGAAAAUUUUUAAAAAAUACUUUUUUCAGCUUUGUUUUAGGGCCUCAGCCUUAGAUUGUAUUUCCUAGUGCAGUUUUUUAAAAAAAAAAUCGGUGACCUCUCUCAUCUAAUGCUUUCUCUGUUCUUGUAGAUGCUUUACUUUUUCCCUGUCAUUUUGAUGAGAUUUGGGGCAAGACCAUGGAAAAGGAUGUAAAGAUGGCACAGGCUCAUUAUUCCCUGAGCUUCUAUCCUCUAAGAUCCUAGGCUGGGAAUUCUACGUAAUCUUGUUAGCUCUGUGAUGUCCUCAAUUGGUAAAAGAGUUGGAUCUUAUUUCCUAGACUAGAGAUUGACAAAUUAUGGCCUGUGGUCUGCCUAUUUUUGCAUGACCCAUGAGCUAAUAAUUUUUUGCUUUACAUUUCUUAAACUUGUUUUUGAAUAGUUUUAGAUUUACAAAAAUUUGUGAAAAUAGUAGAGUUCCCAUAUGACCCACACCCUAUUUCCCCUAUUAUUAACAUCUUACAUUAGUAUAGUACAUUUGUCACAAUUAAUGAGCCAAUAUUGAUGCAUAUUAUUGACUCAAGUCUACACUUUUGAUUUCCUUAGUUUUUAUCUAAUGUCCUUUUUCUGUUCCAGGCUCCCAACCAAGAUUCCUCACUAUGUUUACUAAUCAAAUCUCUUGAGACUCCUCUUGGCUUUGACAAUUUCUCAAACUUUCCUUGUUUAUGAUGACUUUGACAGUUUGAGGAGUGUUAAUAACUGCAAAGUUUCGAGGGCCUACAGAAUGUCUCUCAGUUGGGAUUUGUCUGAUGUGUUUAUCAAGAACACACUAAAGUUAUGGGUUUUUGGGUGGAAGACCACAAAGAUAAAUUGCCUAUAAUAGACUCAUGAGACUGUCAUAACAAAGUACCACAAAUUAUGUGACUUUCAAAUAGCAGAAAUUUAUUCUUUCUCACAGUUCUGGAGGCCAGAAGUCUAAAAGUGUUAACCGGGUUGGUUUCUUCUGACAGCUGUGAGGAAGAAUCUAUUCCACACCUCUCUCCUUAGCUUCUGGCGAUGACUGUCAAUUUUUGGUGUUCCUUGGCUUAUAAAUACAUCAUUCUGAUUUCUGCCUCUGUCUUCACCUAGCUAUCCUCUCUGUGUGUCUGUCAAAAUUUCCCUCUUCUUAUAAAACACAUAAGUCAUAUUGGAUUAAGGCCCACCUUGAUGACCUCACCUUAACUAAUUGUAACUGCAAAGACUAUUUGCAAAUAAGGUUCCAUUCAUAAGGUUUGGGGUAGACAAAACUUGAGAACAGAGACUCAUUUUCUUCUAAAAUGCUUUCUCUGAAAGAUUUUUAAAAAGAAAAGGGUGGAAAUUUGAAAGAAAAAUAAGUCUCAGGACCCCAAAAUCAGUAAGCCAAAGGGAAAAGUCAAGCUGGGAACUGUGUUAGGCAAACUUGCCUCCCAUUUUAUUCCCAAAUAAGAUAGCCACAAAGAUUUAAAAAAAAAAAAAAAAGCUACACACCUCCCUCACAAUUUAUCCACAAGGAAAUUUCUUGUGGGCCUCAAGAUCUUUACCCUAAAACAGUUCUGUUGAAUUUCACCCUGGCAAAGUAAAUUGGUAGCUUAUCUUCACAGGUGCAGGUCAAAGACAGAACUCAAAAGUGAUCCCUCUGCUCACCUGAGACAAACGCACACCUGAUUGCUUGCUCUGCCCUGUUGUUUAUGUAAAAAUGUAGAUUCGCUAAGCCAGACUAAGGCAUAAGAGAUUAUUCCUCUACCCUCCUCUCACAUGUAAAUUGUGUAUUCAGUGAAAGGCUAAUCAGGCUCAAAAGAAUUAGCCUUUUCUCUCUUAUCUACCUAUGACCUGAAAGUCGUCCUCCUUCCUACCUGUUUGAGUUGUCAUGCCUUUUCAGACCGAACCAAUGUACAUCUUGCACGUAUUGAUUAAUGUCUCAUGUCUCCCUAAAAUGUAUAAAACUAAGCUGUGCCCCAACUACCUUGGACACAUGUCGACAGGACCUCCUGAGGCGGUGUCGCAGGUGCAUCCUUAAUCUUGGGAAAAUAAACUUUCUAAAUUGGGGGAAAAAAAGAACUUCAGCACAUCUUUUUUGGGGGACACAAUUUAACUCAUAACAGUGCCAUUCUCAUCACAUCGUAUGAAGGACACGAGUUAUCAACAUGGCUUAUCACUGUUGAUGUUAACCUUAAUAACUUGGCUAUGGUAGUUUUUGUCAAGUUUCUCCACGGUAAAGUUACUCUCUUCCUCCCUGCUUCUAAAUUAUUCUCUUUGGACAGAAGUCAUUAUGUUCAGCCCACACUUACUAAGCCAGAAGGAUGGGAAAUUAUUCUCUACCUCCUUGAGGGCAGAGUAUUCACAUCAAUUAUUUGGAAUUCUUUUGCAAUCAUUCAUUUAUUCAUAUCUGUGUGGACUCAUGGAUGUUUGUUUUAUAUUUUGGGUUAGAAUUCAGUUCUACAUUAUUUAUUUUGUUGCUCAAAUUGUUCCAUUGGAAGCUCUUUUAGUUGGCUUCUUUUUGCCUUUGACAUACUCUUUUCAUUGUGUUCUUUUUGGGCACUUCCUUGCUUCUGGGACUAGAAUAUACUCCAGGAUCAUCUUGGGAUCAUCGGCAUGGGUAGGGAAAAUGUACAGAAAUGGUAUGAGAAUGUGUCCCCUUUUUGUACAUAUUCCAUACCCAUCCUCUGGAAUCAGCCAUUUCUUCAAGGAGCUCUGAUUCCUUUUAUUGGAGAAUGGUAUUAAAAACCAAAAUUUUGGUUCUAGGUCUAUUUGUUGCUACUGGAGUGUCAUUGUUUCUAAGCCCCACUCAGCUGACAGAACAAGGAAAUAUAUGUUUCUACUAACCUGUGUAUACACACAUAUGUUUAUAAACAUUUCUACAUGUAUUCAUUUGUAUCGAUAUUAAGCUAAACAUGAGUUCAUAUUGAUGUCUCCAACUCUCAUGCAUUACCACAUGGAUCAUUCCGGCCCCCUCCUCUGGUUUGUCUGUAAUCUCACAUUCCAACAGUAAGAAACAUGGCCCCCACCAUCCACCAUCCAUUUACUUAACUGUUCAAUUCCAGUAUGUCCAUGUAUGGUGGUUUCAGAAUUAUUAACCUGUACCCCCAUGGAAACAACAAUUUGACCAACUAGAGUCCAGCACUUAUGUACAGUUCCUUUUUAGUCUUACAGUCUCCACUCAUUUCCAAAGUUAGGUCAGGAUGUUUUCCUCACAAACUCUUCAGUGAGAUCAUUUCAUGCAUUUGUAAUACAUUUAGAUUAUUUUUUGUCACACUCUAUAUUCUGUCCUGUGAUCUCCUUACCCCCUAUAUGAUUUUUCAAAAAUUUGCAUACAUUAAGAUGUGGUUGGUGCUGUAAAGUUCUAUGGGCUUUGACAUAAGCAUAGUGACAUGUAUCAACCAUUACAGAAUCAUACAGAAUAGUUUCACUAUCCUGAAAAAUCCCAUGGGCUUCACUUAUUUAGCCCUCCCUUCCCCAAGGUCCUGGCAAUCACUGAUCUGUUUACCAUCUCUAUAGUUUUGCCUUUUCCAAAAUGUCAUGUAAAUUGAAUCAUACAUAAUCUGUGAUAGUCAAUUUUAUGUAUAAACUUGAAUGAGUUAAGGGAUGCCCAGGUAGCUGCUAAAACAUUAUUUCUGUCUAUGAAGGUGUUUGUGGAAGAGAUUAGCAUUUGGGUCAGUGAGACUGAGUAAAGAAGAUCUGCUCUCACCAAUGUGAGUGGGCAUCAUCCAAUUUAUUGAGUGUCUGAGUAGAUCCAAAGGGUAGGGAGAGGGUGAAUUUGCUCCCUCUUUCAGCUGGGCCAUCCAUCUUCUCCUGCCCUCAGACGUUGGCCCUCCAGGUGCUCAGGACUUAGUGUUUGAACUGAAUUACACCACCAGCUUUCUUGGUUCUCCAGCUUGCAGAUGGCAGAGUGUGGGACUUCUCAGACUCAACAGUGUGAGCCAAUUCCUAUAAUAAAUUUUCUCUUUCUUUCUGUGUUAUCACUACACACACACACACACACACACACGCUACAGUCAUUCUCAGUAUCCAUGAGGGAUUUGUUUGGGGACCCCUGUAGAUACCAACAUCUGUGGAUAUUCAAGUUCCUUAUAUAAAAUGGCAUAGUAUUUGCAUGUAACCUACACACAACCUGCUGUAUACUUUAAAUCAUCUCUAGGUUACUUAUAAUACCUAACACAACUACAUAAAUAGUUGUUAGGUUGUAUGCUUUAGGAAAUAAUGACCGGAAGAAAAAGUCUACUUAUUCAGGAUAAUUUUUUUUUCUGAGUAUUCUUGACCCUUGGCAGGUUGAAUCUGCAGAUUUGGAACCUGGGGAUAUGGAAGGCUGACUGUAUAUAUGUGUCUCCAUCCUAUUGACUCUGUUUCAUUGGGGCACCCUGACUAAUACAGUGCAUAGUUCCUCACCUACUUUUGAAGCUGUGGUUGCAAUGGCAAUAUAGGUUUCAGAGCCUAUACAGAGCUAUUCGAGUCUUCUUUGUUCACUUUGUUCACUGAAGCUCCCACUUGAUUCUGCUGAUGCUUCCUGCAGGGGUGAGUGCACUUUCUCAGGCCUGGUUCCACUAGGUGAAGUGUGGGAGAUGCCAGGCCAUGGGUCAGUGAGUGCUUCCCUGAACCUGACCUCUGGGCUGGCUAGUGCCAGUGGGGCUCUUGUUUGAUCCCUGCUGGUGUUACCUGAGGGCGUGGAAGGUGCUUUCCUGCCCUCCUUAGUGCCAGCUUAUGGGUGGAGGAUGCUGGGGCUAUGGAUAGACAAUAAUUCUCAGGGCCUGCUCAUCAGGUCACUUGGUGCUGAUGAGCUUCCUUACUGCAUCUCUGCUACUGCUGCUGAGGUGGGAAACAUCUACCUGGGUGCCUUCUGCCACCGAUGUUGGAGGGAGAGUGUCAGGAAACAGUGGGCUUGGGUUACUCUGGGUCAGGAAUCAGCAUGGCUUGGCUAGAUCUUCUGCUUCUGUGUUUCUCACGAAGCUGUAAUCAAGAUGUUGGCUGCCAGUAAGGUCUCAUCUGAAUAUUCAACGGGAGAAAGAUCUACUUUCAAGUGCCCUGAUGUGGUUGUCAGAUGUAUUCAAUUCCUUAAGGGUUCUUGGACUAAGAGCCUCAGUUCCUUUCUGGCUGUUGGCUAGAGGCUGCUCUCAGUUACUUGCUGAAGGAGUCCAACAUGGCAACUUGCUGCACCCAAAGCAGCAAGCAAGCAAGUCCAGUAGCAAGACAGAAGUCACAAUCUUAUGUAACCUAACCAUGAAAAUGACAUCUCAUUACCUCUGUCAUAUUCUUUUGGUUGAAAGCAAGUCACUACAUUCAGCUCACACUCAAGGUUAGGGCGUGGGGGAAGUAGAUUACAUAAGGACAUGAAUACCAGAAGUGGAUCAUUAAGGACCAUAGUAGAGUCUGUCUGCCACAGUCAUCAUCAAUAUUCCUUACAAUUUUAGGGUUUUAAUGGCCAAUAAUUCUUAUCAUUGUAGAAUACUUAGUAAACCUCAGUUUUUUCAAUUUUUUCUCUCAUUAAAGGGGAUUAAAAUAUAACUGUGACUUUAGAACCUCCAGUUCUUAUAACAUUUCUUUCUUUCCCUUUCUUUUUCUUUCUUUCUUUCUCUCUCUCUCCCUUUCUUUCUUUCUUUCUUUCUUUCUUUCUUUCUUUCUUUCUUUCUUUCUUUCUUUCUUUCUUUCUUUCUCUCCCCCUCCCUCCCUCCUCUGUCUCUCCCUCUAUCUAUCUAUCUAUCUAUCUAUCUAUCUAUCUAUCUCUCUCUCUCUCUCUCUCUCUCUCUCUCUCUCUCUCUUUCUCCCCUUUCUCUCCUUUCUCUCUCUGUCACCCAGGCUGGAAUGCAUUGGCAUAAUCUCGGCUCACUGCAACCUCCAUCUCCCAGGUUCAAGUUAUUCUCCUGCCUCAGCCUCCUGAAGUAGCUGGGACUACAGGCGCACACCACCACACUGGGCUAAUUUUUGUAUUUUUAGUAGAGAAGGGAUUUCACCAUGUUGGUCAGGUUGGUCUCGAACUCCUGAUCUCAAGUGAUCUGCCCACCUUAGCCUCCCAAAGUGCUGCGAUUACAGGCACGAGCUUUUUUUCUUUUUUUGAGACAGGGUCUCCCUCUGUCACCCAGGCUGGAGUGCAAUAGCAUGAUCACAGCACACUGCAGCCUCAAUCUCCUGGGCUUAAGCAAUCCUUCCACUUCAGCCUCCUGAAUAGCAAGGACUACAGGUGCAUGCCACCACACCUAGCUACUUUUUUUGUUUGUUUUUUGUAGAGAUGGGGAUCUCACUAUGUUGCCCCAGCUUGUCUCCAACUCCUGGGCUCAAGUGAUCCUCCCAUCUCAGCCUCCCAAAGUGCUGGGAUUACAGGCACGAGCCACCAUGCCUAACCUUCUUAUAACUAUGCUAUGAUGCCUCACUAAAUUUAUGAAAACAUAAUUAGUAUGAUUACAUAUUCUUAUAGAGGCAAGUUCUUCCUUUCCUGAGCCAUCAUAGCAUUUUAGUUAUGUCUUCCUUGUGAUUUUGAGCACUUUUAAACUUGCAAAAGGAAUAUUUGUGAAUAGUCUUCUCUCCCUUGCUAGACUGUAGGGUCUUUGAGGAUAAAUUAUUAUUAUUACUUGAGACAGGGUCUCACUCUGUCACUCAGGCUGGAGUGCAGUGGCUUGAAUAAGGCUUACUGCAGCCUUGACCUCCUGGGCUCAAGCAGUUAUCUUACCUCAGCCUCCUGAGUAGCUGGGACCACAAGUGCAUGCCACCAUGACCAGCUAAUUGUUGUAUAUUUUGUAGAGAUGGGGUAUCACCAUGUUGCCCAGGCUGGUCUCCAACUCCUGGGCUCAGGUGAUCUGCCCACCUCAGCCUCCCAAAGUACUAGGAUUGCAGGCGUGAGCCAUCACACUCGGUCUGACAAAUUAUGGUUUUUAACAUUUUUUACACCUGACUGCACCCAAAAGAGUACAUUUACUAUGGAGUUCAGUAAAUAUCUAUUUUAAAAAAAAAGUCCCAUAGCAUUUUUAAAAAUAUGAACUCAACAUCUCUUUGUAUCAAUAAAAGUGAGAUAUAGAUUUGAUUUAUGUAUCUCUAGUUCACCUAAGUUCACUCAGAUAGUAGACAGACUGAAUACUAAUUGAGGAGAUUAAUCACAAGCAGUUCAUAUCCAAACACUGAAAAAUGUAGUAAAUAUCUGAUGAAUGAGUUGAUGAAUAUUCAUUUUUCUCCAUAUAUAUAUAUAUAUAUAUAUCCCUUUGACAUAGUCUCUGUGCAUGUUUUUGUGCAUGAAUGUAUGUGUAUGUGUUUGUGUAUAUAUAGACACAUGUAUAUAUACACACAUACGUAUAUAUACAUAUAUGUUUAUAUAUGUAUAUAUGUGUUUUAUAUAUACAUGUGUAUGUGUAUACAUAUAUAUGCACACGUAUAUACUCAUAUGUAUAUACACACACAUAUAUAUGUUUCUGAGCUAGAGUCUGGGUAUGUUUCUUCAUAAGAAAAUUUUAUGCCUCCAAAGUAUUUCCACAUUAUUUAUAAUAAUAUAUAAUAACAUCACAUUGUGUAAGUAAUAACAUUAGUUUAUCAUCCAUUUAUUCUUUAUCCAGCAUAGGUAGAAUUAGAUGAUUCAAAAUUGCAAAGAGAAACAUAAUUUAUUUUGGAAGAUUGUACAUUUUUGUAAGUUUCUAAAAAGCUAAAAACUUUCAUGAAUUUUGUACUUGAGAAAUUACUGUGAUUCCUUUGUUAAUUCAUAAACCUAAUGGUAUAACCAUCACCUUUCUGACUGCCAUGCUAUCUUAACAUUUUUAAUUUGGGGAGGGGUUCUAAACUUUGUAUCCCAAUUAUAUUCUGGUGAUAACAGCUUAGUAGGUUUAUUGACAAAAAAAUAUUUGUUUAGGUAGCUUUCAUAUAGGCUGUUAAGUUUAUUUGUGGUGUCCUGAACAGUUCCUUUCUGCUAUUCUUUUUUUUUAAAUUUUAUUAUUAUUAUACUUUAAGUUUUAGGGUACAUGUGCACAAUGUGCAGGUUAGUUACAUAUGUAUACAUGUGCCAUGCUGGUGUGCUGCAUCCAUUAACUCGUCAUUUAGCAUUAGGUAUAUCUCCUAAUGCUAUCCCUCCCCACUCCCCCCACCCCACAACAGUCCCCAGAGUGUGAUGUUCCCCUUCCUGUGUUCAUGUGUUCUCAUUGUUCAAUUCCCACCUAUGAGUAAGAACAUGCGGUGUUUGGUUUUUUGUCCUUGCGAUAGUUUACUGAGAAUGAUGAUUUCCAAUUUCAUCCAUGUCCCUACAAAGGACAUGAACUCAUCAUUUCUUAUGGCUGCAUAGUAUUCCUUGGUGUAUAUGUGCCACAUUUUCUUAAUCUGGUCUGUCAUUGUUAGACAUUUGGGUUGGUUCCAAGUCUUUGCUAUUGUGAAUAGUGCCGCAAUAAACAUACGAGUGCAUGUGUCUUUAUAGCAGCAUGAUUUAUAGUACUUUGGGUAUAUACCCAGUAAUGGGAUGGCUGGGUCAAAUGGUAUUUCUAGUUCUAGAUCCCUGAGGAAUCGCCACACUGGCUUCCACAAUGGUUGAACCAGUUUACAGUCCCACCAACAGUGUAAAAGUGUUCCUAUUUCUCCACAUCUUCCCAGCACCCGUUGUUUCCUGACUUUUUUAAUGAUUGCCAUUCUAACCGGUGUGAGAUGGUAUCUCAUUGUGGUUUUGAUUUGCAUUUCUCUGAUGGCCAGUGAUGGUGAGCAUUUUUUCAUGUGUUUUUUGGCUGCAUAAAUGUCUUCUUUUGUGAAGUGUCUGUUCAUGUCCUUUGCCCACUUUUUGAUGGGGUUGUUUGUUUUUUUCUUGUAAAUUUGUUUGAGUUCAUUGUAGAUUCUGGAUAUUAGCCGUUUGUCAGAUGAGUAGGUUGCGAAAAUUUUCUCCCAUUUUGUAGGUUGCCUGUUCACUCUGAUGGUAGUUUCUUUUGCUGUGCAGAAGCUCUUUAGUUUAAUUAGAUCCCAUUUGUCAAUUUUGGCUUUUGUUGCCAUUGCUUUUGGUGUUUUAGACAUGAAGUCCUUGCCCAUGCCUAUGUCCUGAAUGGUAAUGCCUAGGUUUUCUGCUAGGCUUUUUAUGGUUUUAGGUCUAACGUUUAAGUCUUUAAUCCAUCUUGAAUUAAUUUUUGUAUAAGGUGUAAGGAAUGGAUCCAGUUUCAGCUUUCUACAUAUGGCUAGCCAGUUUUCCCAGCACCAUUUAUUAAAUAGGGAAUCCUUUCCCCAUUGCUUGUUUUUCUCAGGUUUGUCAAAGAUGUCAGAUAGUUGUAAAUAUGCGGCGUUAUUUCUGAGGGCUCUGUUCUGUUCCAUUGAUCUAUAUCUCUGUUUUGGUACCAGUACCAUGCUGUUUUGGUUACUGUAGCCUUGUAGUAUAGUUUGAAGUCGGGUAGUGUGAUGCCUCCAGCUUUGUUCUUUUGGCUUAGGAUUGACUUGGUGAUGCGGGCUCUUUUUUGGUUCCAUA